rnacentral:rRNA from 1 species
GAAUCUGCCUGGUAGUGGGGGACAACGUUUCGAAAGGAACGCUAAUACCGCAUACGUCCUACGGGAGAAAGCAGGGGACCUUCGGGCCUUGCGCUAUCAGAUGAGCCUAGGUCGGAUUAGCUAGUUGGUGAGGUAAUGGCUCACCAAGGCGACGAUCCGUAACUGGUCUGAGAGGAUGAUCAGUCACACUGGAACUGAGACACGGUCCAGACUCCUACGGGAGGCAGCAGUGGGGAAUAUUGGACAAUGGGCGAAAGCCUGAUCCAGCCAUGCCGCGUGUGUGAAGAAGGUCUUCGGAUUGUAAAGCACUUUAAGUUGGGAGGAAGGGUUGUAGAUUAAUACUCUGCAAUUUUGACGUUACCGACAGAAUAAGCACCGGCUAACUCUGUGCCAGCAGCCGCGGUAAUACAGAGGGUGCAAGCGUUAAUCGGAAUUACUGGGCGUAAAGCGCGCGUAGGUGGUUUGUUAAGUUGGAUGUGAAAUCCCCGGGCUCAACCUGGGAACUGCAUCCAAAACUGGCAAGCUAGAGUAUGGUAGAGGGUGGUGGAAUUUCCUGUGUAGCGGUGAAAUGCGUAGAUAUAGGAAGGAACACCAGUGGCGAAGGCGACCACCUGGACUGAUACUGACACUGAGGUGCGAAAGCGUGGGGAGCAAACAGGAUUAGAUACCCUGGUAGUCCACGCCGUAAACGAUGUCAACUAGCCGUUGGGAGCCUUGAGCUCUUAGUGGCGCAGCUAACGCAUUAAGUUGACCGCCUGGGGAGUACGGCCGCAAGGUUAAAACUCAAAUGAAUUGACGGG